rnacentral:rRNA from 1 species
UGAGUACGAGAUGCUACGGCAUCGAAGCAGUCUAUGUCAUACUUCCAAGAAAAGCUUUCAAUGUCAUAAACAAAUAAUGCCUGUACCAUAACCGACACAGGUGGGUAGGUAGAGUAUACUAAGGGGCGCGAGAUAACUCUCUCUAAGGAACUCAGCAAAAUGACUCCGUAACUUCGGGAGAAGGAGUGCCUUAUUUUUAUAAGGUUGCAAUAACAAGAUCCAAGCAACUGUUUACCAAAAACACAGGUCUCCGCUAAGUCGUAAGACGAUGUAUGGGGGCUGACGCCUGCCCAGUGCCAGAAGGUUAAAGAAGUUGGUUAGCAUUAGCGAAGCUGAUAACUGAAGCCCUGGUGAACGGCGGCCGUAACAAUAACGGUCCUAAGGUAGCGAAAUUCCUUGUCGGGUAAGUUCCGACCCGCACGAAAGGCGUAAUGAUUUGGAUACUGUCUCGGAGAGGGGCUCGGUGAAAUAGACUUGUCUGUGAAGAUGCGGACUACCUGCACCUGGACAGAAAGACCCUAUGAAGCUUUACUGUAACUUGAGAUUGAAAUUGGACUUUAUCUGCGCAGUAUAGGUGGGAGACUUGAAAAUAUUCUUGCGGGAAUAUUGGAGUCAUCAGUGAGAUACCACUCUUAUAAUGUUAGAUUUCUAACUUUGUAUCAUUAUCUGGUCAAAGAACAGUUUCAGGCGGGCAGUUUGACUGGGGCGGUCGCCACCCAAACGGUAACGGAGGCGCACAAAGGUUUCCUCUGAACGUGUAGAAAUCGUAUCUAGAGUGUAAAGGCAUAAGGAAGCUUGACUGUGAGACCUACAAGUCGAGCAGGGACGAAAGUCGGUCUUAGUGAUCUGACGGUGCUGAGUGGAAAGGCCGUCACUCAACGGAUAAAAGUUACUCUAAGGAUAACAGGCUGAUCUCCCCCAAGAGUUCACAUCGACGGGGAGGUUUGGCACCUCGAUGUCGGCUCAUCGCAUCCUGGGGCGGUAGUACGUCCCAAGGGUUGGGCUGUUCGCCCAUGAAAGCGGUACGCGAGCUGGGUUCAGAACGUCGUGAGACAGUUCGGUCCAUAUCCGGUGUAGGCGUUAGAAUAUUGAGAGGAGCCUUCUUUAGUACGAGAGGACCGAGAAGGACAUACCUCUGGUGUACCAGUUAUCGUGCCAACGGUAAACGCUGGGUAGCCAUGUAUGGAGAGGAUAACCGCUGAAAGCAUCUAAGUGGGAAGCCCACCUCAAGAUAAGUAUUCUC